UUGCAAUGCAAAUAGUAUUUCUAAAUCAGAUAGUUACUGGAACCACGUGGUGGGCUCUUAACGAGCUAACUACCGUGGGAAACUGUAGCACUAAUUCUCCGGUAGGGGAUCAGAUGCGUCUAAUUGUUAACAACUAGUCCUGAUGACUCCUUACUCGGAGGAUGAACUUGUUCAACUUGGUUUAUCACCACUGUCUACGACGGUGAUGCAUAUAAUCGCCGUUUUACAAAUUGCUCAAAGAUUUUGACCCUCCUUCACUCGAGACAMUCGUGUCUUGUCGUGCACUARCUUCGGCGUGUGCCAGUGUUGGUUUGUUUCACUUUAGC
rnacentral:misc_RNA from 1 species